rnacentral:rRNA from 1 species
CUACGUGCCAGCAGCCGCGGUAAUACGUAGGGCGCGAGCGUUGUCCGGAAUUAUUGGGCGUAAAGAGCUUGUAGGCGGUUUGUCGCGUCUGCUGUGAAAGGCCGGGGCUUAACCCCGUGUAUUGCAGUGGGUACGGGCAGACUAGAGUGCAGUAGGGGAGACUGGAAUUCCUGGUGUAGCGGUGGAAUGCGCAGAUAUCAGGAGGAACACCGAUGGCGAAGGCAGGUCUCUGGGCUGUAACUGACGCUGAGAAGCGAAAGCAUGGGGAGCGAACAGGAUUAGAUACCCUGGUAGUCCAUGCCGUAAACGUUGGGCACUAGGUGUGGGGGACAUUCCACGUUUUCCGCGCCGUAGCUAACGCAUUAAGUGCCCCGCCUGGGGAGUACGGCCGCAAGGCUAAAACUCAAAGGAAUUGACGGGGGCCCGCACAAGCGGCGGAGCAUGCGGAUUAAUUCGAUGCAACGCGAAGAACCUUACCAAGGCUUGACAUGC